rnacentral:lncRNA from 1 species
GGCUUUAUCGUAGGGAAUACUAAAAUGAUUCCCGUUUGUAACGGAUUGCAAACUGUUGACGUGCUCACCUGAAACCCGGCACACUGGCUGUCAAUGUAGUUUUAUCCAGUAGACCACAUUGUCACGUGACCGUGAAGCUCGUUGUCCAUUAUAGUUCGGUUACGUUGUUAUGGUUCUGGUUUCGUUUGCUAGCUAACGGUUCAAACAAUCAUCAGCAAGCUUGGACAAAAACGCCUGUCUGGAAAUGGCUUUCCUCCACAAAGAAUCCCAUUCAGCAAUCAGAAAUACGACAUCUGACAAUGCUACCAUCUACAUGAACUGGGACUUUUUUGGUCAAGAGCAUCAACCAGGAAUCAUACUCACCUUGUUUGGAGCGUGUCUCUUUGGAGCAGUUGUCAGAACAGUCCUACACAAUCUGAAGGUGCCAUAUACUGUGCUAUUAGCUCUUUGUGGGAUGUUAUUGGGAUCACUCAGUUUCCAAUACCCAGAGGUAUGGAGAGAACCAAUGAACAACAUUAAUAUGUAAUCACAUCUGGUUUGGGGUAUUGUUAUGCUUGUUUUAAUGGUG